rnacentral:rRNA from 1 species
UCAUUAUAUAAGUUAUCGUUUAUUUGAUAUUGCCUAUCCUACAUGGAUAACAGUGGUAAUUCUAGAGCUAAUACAUGCUGAAAAUCCCGACUUCGGAAGGGACGUAUUUAUUAGAAUCAGAACCAAUGCCCUUCGGGGUUUCCUGGUGACUCAUGAUAACUCCACAGAUCGCAUGGCCUUGCGCCGGCGAUGGCUCAUUCAAAUUUCUUCCCUAUCAACUUUCGACGGUACGGUCUUGGCCUACCGUGGUUGUAACGGGUGACGGAGGGUUAGGGCUCGACCCCGGAGAGAGAGCCUGAGAAACGGCUAUCACAUCCAAGGAAGGCAGCAGGCGCGCAAAUUAUCCAAUCCCGACUCGGGGAGAUAGUGACAAUAAAUACCGAUACAGGGCUCUUUUGGGCCCUGUAAUUGGAAUGAGUACAAUUUAAACCUCUUAACGAGGAACAAUUGGAGGGCAAGUCUGGUGGACUUCCAGUCCCGUGCUGGCGCCAGCAAGAGUGGGAGGCACGCUGCGGCGAGUCUUCUGACCCACUAGUCGAGCAUCCACUCAUUGACGGGAGGGUGCCGGCGAGACAACCUGGAUCGGGGAAGGCUAAGGGGCGAGAGCCCUAUGCUAAUCCCGAGCAGAGCUACCCGGAAGUGAUUCCAGGAUAGCCUGUGUAGAGCGCGCCAAGGUGUCGGUCGCUCUGCGGAUGACCUAUCCGCAGGCGGCUUAAGGUACGUGCCGACCCCCGCGAAAGCGGGUCCCUGCUUGGAACGCCCGUCACGUAAAGGGCAGGGAGCAACCGGGAGUUUUGGAAUUUAUUUUCCAAGAAGUCCUGGUUGCGGAGCAAGUGUAAGUCAUUGCGACGCAAAUGACUUGUACCCAACGGCCAGCAGCCGCGGUAAUUCCAGCUCCAAUAGCGUAUAUUAAAGUUGUUGUGGUUAAAAAGCUCGUAGUCGAACCUCGAGCCUGGCCGGCCGGUCCGCCUCACCGCGUGCACUGGUCUGGCCGGGCUCUUCCCUCUGCGGAACCGCAUGUCCUUCACUGGGCGUGUCGGGGAGGCAGGACUUUUACUUUGAAAAAAUUAGAGUGCUCAAGGCAGGCCAAUGCUCGAAUACAUUAGCAUGGAAUAAUAGAAUAGGACGUUGGUUCUAUUUUGUUGGUUUCUAGGACCGCCGUAAUGAUCAAUAGGGACGGUCGGGGGCAUCAGUAUUCAGCCGUCAGAGGUGAAAUUCUUGGACCGGCUGAAGACUAACUACUGCGAAAGCAUUUGCCAAGGACGUUUUCGCUGAUCAGGAACGAAAGUUAGGGGAUCGAAGACGAUCAGAUACCGUCGUAGUCUUAACCAUAAACUAUGCCGACUAGGGAUCGGGCGGCGUUCUUUCUAGACCCGCUCGGCACCUUUCGAGAAAUCAAAGUGC